ensembl:misc_RNA Metazoa_SRP Metazoan signal recognition particle RNA
GCUGGGCAUGGUGGCGCAUGCCUGUAAUCCCAGCUACUCAGGAGGCUGAGGCAGGAGAAUUGCCUGAACCCAGGAAGCAGAGGUUGCAGUGAGCCGAGAUGGCGCCACUGCACUCCAGCCUGGGUAACAAGAGCGAAACUCCGCCUCAA